rnacentral:rRNA from 1 species
AGUGAACGCUGGCGGCGUGCCUAAUACAUGCAAGUCGAACGGAGAUUAAGUAGCUUGCUAUUUAAUCUUAGUGGCGCACGGGUGAGUAAUAUAUAGCUAACUUGCCCAUUACUAAGGGACAACAGUUGGAAACGACUGCUAAUACCUUAUACUCCGUAUCUAUAUAAGUAGAUACGGGAAAGUUUUUCGGUAAUGGAUAGGGCUAUAUCGUAUCAGCUAGUUGGUAAGGUAAUGGCUUACCAAGGCUAUGACGCGUAACUGGUCUGAGAGGAUGAUCAGUCACACUGGAACUGAGACACGGUCCAGACUCCUACGGGAGGCAGCAGUAGGGAAUAUUGCUCAAUGGGGGAAACCCUGAAGCAGCAACGCCGCGUGGAGGAUGACACUUUUCGGAGCGGAAACUCCUUUUCUUGGGAAAGAAUUAUGACGGUACCCAAGGAAUAAGCACCGGCUAACUCCGUG